GCGUCCACCGGAUCGAUGGCGCGCCGGACGACGAGGUAGUCGCGCAGCACGAUGGCGUGCCGGUUGUC
rnacentral:sRNA from 1 species